rnacentral:rRNA from 1 species
AUUGAACGCUGGCGGCAGGCCUAACACAUGCAAGUCGAACGGUAACAGGAAACAGCUUGCUGUUUCGCUGACGAGUGGCGGACGGGUGAGUAAUGUCUGGGAAACUGCCUGAUGGAGGGGGAUAACUACUGGAAACGGUAGCUAAUACCGCAUAACGUCGCAAGACCAAAGAGGGGGACCUUCGGGCCUCUUGCCAUCAGAUGUGCCCAGAUGGGAUUAGCUAGUAGGUGGGGUAACGGGCUCACCUAGGCGACGAUCCCUAGCUGGUCUGAGAGGAUGACCAGCCACACUGGAACUGAGACACGGUCCAGACUCCUACGGGAGGCAGCAGUGGGGAAUAUUGCACAAUGGGCGCAAGCCUGAUGCAGCCAUGCCGCGUGUAUGAAGAAGGCC